rnacentral:rRNA from 1 species
ACCAAAUUCUCAACGAUGGAUAUCUUGGUUCCCAUUACGAUGAAGAACGCAGCGAAGUGCGAUAAGCAAUGCGAAUUGCAGAACCGUGAGUCAUCAGAUUUUUGAACGCAACUGGCGCUAGGUGGUUAUCCACCUAGCAUGCUUGUUUCAGUG